GUCCACUGCUGUAAACGAUGAGUGCUAGAUGUUGGGGCUUGCCCUUCGGUGUCGCAGCUAACGCCUUAAGCACUCCGCCUGGGAAGUACGGCCGCAAGGUUAAACUCAAAGGAAUUGACGGGGCCCGCACAAGCGGUGGAGAAUGUGGUUUAAUUCGACGCAACGCGCAGAACCUUACCAGCCCUUGACAUGGGGAGUUUGGGUUGCAGAGAUGUGAUCCUUCAGUUCGGCUGGCUCCCACACAGGUGCUGCAUGGCUGUCGU
rnacentral:rRNA from 1 species